rnacentral:rRNA from 1 species
UACGAAGGGGGCUAGCGUUGCUCGGAAUCACUGGGCGUAAAGCGCACGUAGGCGGAUUGUUAAGUCAGGGGUGAAAUCCUGGAGCUCAACUCCAGAACUGCCUUUGAUACUGGCGAUCUUGAGUCCGGGAGAGGUGAGUGGAACUGCGAGUGUAGAGGUGAAAUUCGUAGAUAUUCGCAAGAACACCAGUGGCGAAGGCGGCCGACUGGUCCGGUUCUGACGCUGAGGCGCGAAAGCGUGGGGAGCAAACAGG